UACGAAGGGGGCUAGCGUUGUUCGGAAUUACUGGGCGUAAAGCGCGCGCAGGCGGCUAUCCAAGUCAGUGGUGAAAGCCCGGAGCUCAACUCCGGAACUGCCAUUGAAACUGUUUAGCUUGAGGACGAGAGAGGUGAGUGGAAUUCCCAGUGUAGAGGUGAAAUUCGUAGAUAUUGGGAAGAACACCGGUGGCGAAGGCGGCUCACUGGCUCGUAUCUGACGC
rnacentral:rRNA from 1 species